AUGAACGCUGGCGGCGUGCCUAAUACAUGCAAGUAGAACGCUGAAGCUUGGUGCUUGCACCGAGCGGAUGAGUUGCGAACGGGUGAGUAACGCGUAGGUAACCUGCCUCUUAGCGGGGGAUAACUAUUGGAAACGAUAGCUAAUACCGCAUAAAAGUCGAUAUCGCAUGAUAUUGAUUUGAAAGGUGCAAAUGCAUCACUAAGAGAUGGACCUGCGUUGUAUUAGCUAGUUGGUGAGGUAACGGCUCACCAAGGCGACGAUACAUAGCCGACCUGAGAGGGUGAUCGGCCACACUGGGACUGAGACACGGCCCAGACUCCUACGGGAGGCAGCAGUAGGGAAUCUUCGGCAAUGGGGGCAACCCUGACCGAGCAACGCCGCGUGAGUGAAGAAGGUUUUCGGAUCGUAAAGCUCCGUUGUAAGAGAAGAACGAGUGUGAGAGUGGAAAGUUCACACUGUGACGGUAACUUACCAGAAAGGGACGGCUAACUACGUG
rnacentral:rRNA from 1 species